AGUGAACGCUGGCGGUAGGCCUAACACAUGCAAGUCGAACGGCAGCACAGUAAGAGCUUGCUCUUACGGGUGGCGAGUGGCGGACGGGUGAGGAAUACAUCGGAAUCUACUUUUUCGUGGGGGAUAACGUAGGGAAACUUACGCUAAUACCGCAUACGACCUACGGGUGAAAGCAGGGGAUCUUCGGACCUUGCGCGAUUGAAUGAGCCGAUGUCGGAUUAGCUAGUUGGCGGGGUAAAGGCCCACCAAGGCGACGAUCCGUAGCAGGUCUGAGAGGAUGAUCAGCCACACUGGAACUGAGACACGGUCCAGACUCCUACGGGAGGCAGCAGUGGGGAAUAUUGGACAAUGGGCGCAAGCCUGAUCCAGCCAUACCGCGUGGGUGAAGAAGGCCUUCGGGUUGUAAAGCCCUUUUGUUGGGAAAGAAAAGCAGCAGGUUAAUACCCCGCUGUUCUGACGGUACCCAAAGAAUAAGCACCGGUUAACUUCGUG
rnacentral:rRNA from 1 species